rnacentral:rRNA from 1 species
UCGGGAAUCUUGCACAAUGGGCGAAAGCCUGAUGCAGCAACGCCGUGUGAGCGAUGAAGGCCUUAGGGUCGUAAAGCUCUGUUGUUAGGGACGAAGGGCGAAGGGUUAAUAGCCCUUAGCAUGACGAUACCUUUCGAGGAAGCCCCGGCUAACUACGUGCCAGCAGCCGCGGUAAUACGUAGGGGGCGAGCGUUGUCCGGAAUUAUUGGGCGUAAAGGGCGCGUAGGCGGCUCGGUAAGUCUGCUGUGAAACCUUGGGGCUCAACCCCAAGCGUGCAGUGGAUACUGUCGAGCUAGAGGAUGGUAGAGGCCAGUGGAAUUCCCGGUGUAGCGGUGAAAUGCGCAGAUAUC